rnacentral:rRNA from 1 species
AAAUUUGAAAUCUGGCUCCUAGAGUCCGAGUUGUAAUUUGUAGAGGAUGCUUUUGAUGCGGUGCCUUCCGAGUUCCCUGGAACGGGACGCCAUAGAGGGUGAGAGCCCCGUCUGGUCGGAUGCCAAAUCUCUGUAAAGCUCCUUCGACGAGUCGAGUAGUUUGGGAAUGCUGCUCAAAAUGGGAGGUAUAUGUCUUCUAAAGCUAAAUAUUGGCCAGAGACCGAUAGCGCACAAGUAGAGUGAUCGAAAGAUGAAAAGCACUUUGAAAAGAGGGUUAAAUAGUACGUGAAAUUGUUGAAAGGGAAGCGCCUAUGACCAGACUUGGGUCCGGUGAAUCAUCCAGCGUUCUCGCUGGUGCACUUUGCCGGGCACAGGCCAGCAUCAGUUUGUCUUGGGGGAAAAAGGCUUUGGGAACGUGGCUCCCUCGGGAGUGUUAUAGACCAUUGCAUAAUACCCUGGGACGGACUGAGGUUCGCGCAUCUGCAAGGAUGCUGGCGUAAUGGUCAUCAGCGACCCGUCUUGAAACACGGACCAAGGAGUCGUCUUCGUAUGCGAGUGUUCGGGUGUAAAACCCCUACGCGUAAUGAAAGUGAACGCAGGUGAGAGCUUCGGCGCAUCAUCGACCGAUCCUGAUGUUCUCGGAUGGAUUUGAGUAAGAGCAUACGGGGCCGGACCCGAAAGAAGGUGAACUAUUCCUGUAUAGGGUGAAGCCAGAGGAAACUCUGGUGGAGGCUCGCAGCGGUUCUGACGUGCGAAUCGAUCGUCA